rnacentral:lncRNA from 1 species
UACCAUCUUAGGGCAGCUCCAGUCAAACUGUCUUGGAAGUAGUGAAUCAGUAGCUGAUCAUUAUCAGUUUGAGUAGAUAUUUUCCUGGCAUACAUAACAAUGUGGCUCAACGGACAAGUAUUGCCUUUGUAUUUUUCAAAGUCUGGGACCUUGAAUUUCAUCAGAAUCUUGACAUUUGGAACCAAGCACAAUUCAGCAUCAUUUUUGCCAAAG